rnacentral:rRNA from 1 species
UCGCCAGGAGACUACGAGCGCUGUAGCUUAAAACCCAAAGGACUUGGCGGUGCUUUAAACCCCCCUAGAGGAGCCUGUUCUAGAAUCGAUAAUCCCCGUUAAACCUCACCCUCUCUUGUUCAUUCCCGCCUAUAUACCGCCGUCGCCAGCUUACCCUGUGAAGGAUUAAUAGUAAGCAAAAUUGGCACAGCCCAGUACGUCAGGUCAACGUGUAGCGUACGAGAGGGGAAGAAAUGGGCUACAUUUACUGAGACAGUAAAUACGGAUCUUGCACUGAAAUAAUGCUUGUGAAGGAGGAUUUAGCAGUAAGAAGAGAAUAGAGUGCUCUCCUGAAGCCGGCUCUAAAGCGCGUACACACCGCCCGUCACCCU